AGAGUUCAUAUCGACCUCGUGGCUUGCUACUUCGCUGUCGGCUCUCCCUAUCCUGGUGGUGCAGCAGCUGCCAAGGGUGGGGUUGUUCGCCCAUUAAAAGGGAUCGUGAGCUGGGUUUAAAACGUCGCGAGACAGUUUUGUUGCUUUUUGAUGGAGGUGCAGGUACCUGACGAGAAGGACCCUUUAGUACGAGAGGAACAGGGGUUCGUCGCCUCUAGUUUAUCAGUUGUCUGACAAGGCAUGCUGAGUAGCCACGCGGUAGCGGAUAAGAGCUGAAGGCAUCUAAGCUCGAAGCCGCCUUGAAAAAGAGGUACCAUAGGACGCUCAUAAAUGAUGAGUUUGAUAGAAGCCGGAUGUAAGCAUCGAGGUUCGCCGAGAUGUUCAGUCCUGGCUUACUAAAGUCCGUUAAACGUCGCUG
rnacentral:rRNA from 1 species